GCGGAGGAAAAGAAACUAACCAGGAUUCCCUUAGUAACGGCGAGUGAACAGGGAAAAGCCCAGCACCGAAGCCUGUGGUCGUUUGGCCCCUAGGCAAUGUGGUGUUCAGGUUAGCUCGCGAAGAUGCUGCUCCACCCUAAGUCCUAUAAUGAGUAAGGUUACUCGGACAUGGCCCAAUGAGGGUGAAAGGCCCGUGGGGGUGGA
rnacentral:rRNA from 1 species